CUACGUGCCAGCAGCCGCGGUAAUACGGAAGGUCCAGGCGUUAUCCGGAUUUAUUGGGUUUAAAGGGAGCGUAGGCGGACGAUUAAGUCAGCUGUGAAAGUUUGCGGCUCAACCGUAAAAUUGCAGUUGAAACUGGUUGUCUUGAGUGCACGCAGGGAUGUUGGAAUUCAUGGUGUAGCGGUGAAAUGCUUAGAUAUCAUGAAGAACUCCGAUCGCGAAGGCAUAUGUCCGGAGUGCAACUGACGCUGAGGCUCGAAAGUGCGGGUAUCGAACAGGAUUAGAUACCCUGGUAGUCCGCACAGUAAACGAUGAAUACUCGCAGUAUGCGAUAUAAUGUAUGCUGCCAAGUGAAAGCGUUAAGUAUUCCACCUGGGGAGUACGCCGGCAACGGUGAAACUCAAAGGAAUUGACGGGGGCCCGCACAAGCGGAGGAACAUGUGGUUUAAUUCGAUGAUACGCGAGGAACCUUACCCGGGCUUGAAC
rnacentral:rRNA from 1 species